UACGUAGGGUCCGAGCGUUGUCCGGAAUUACUGGGCGUAAAGAGCUCGUAGGUGGUUUGUCGCGUUGUUCGUGAAACUCACAGCUCAACUGUGGGCGUGCGGGCGAUACGGGCAGACUGGAGUACUGCAGGGGAGACUGGAAUUCCUGGUGUAGCGGUGGAAUGCGCAGAUAGUCAGGAGGAACGACCGGUGGCGAAGGCGGGUCUCUGGCCGUAACUGACGCUGGAGGAG
rnacentral:rRNA from 1 species